UGUGAACAGCUGACACAGCCAGACUCUGUGAGUCUGCAGCCAGGUCAGAGACUGACCAUCACCUGUCAGGUCUCUUAUACUCUGAGCAGCUACUGGACAGGUUGGAUCAGACAGCCUGCAGGGAAAGGACUGGAGUGGAUUG